AUUAGGAAUUGGCGGGGGAGCACCGCAACGGGAGGAGCGUGCGGUUCAAUUGGAUUCAACGCCGGACAACUCACCAGGAGCGACGGUUACAUGAAGGCCAGGCUGAUGACCUUGCCUGAUUUUCCGAGAGGUGGUGCAUGGCCGUCGUCAGUUCGUACCGUAAGGCGUUCUCUUAAGUGAGAUAACGAACGAGACCCUCACCGCUAAUUGCUAGUGUUCUCUCCGGAGGGCACGCACAUUAACGGGACCGCUGUCGCUAAGACAGAGGAAGGAGAGGUCAACGGUAGGUCCGUAUGCCCCGAAUCUCCUGGGCCACACGCGCGCUACAAAGGUUGGGACAAUGGGCUCCGACAUCGAAAGGUGAAGGCAAUCUCGAAACCCAAUCGUAGUUCGGAUUGAGGGUUGUAACUCACCCUCAUGAAGCUGGAUUCCGUAGUAAUCGCUUGUCAACAUCAAGCGGUGAAUAUGCCCCUGCUCCUUGCACACACCGCCCGUCAAU
rnacentral:rRNA from 1 species